GUGAACGAGCGACGCCGCGUGCGGGAUGAAGGCCUUCGGGUUGUAAACUCCUGUCAGGGGUUAUGAAAUUCGAUCCGGUUAAUACCCGGGUCGUUUGACAAAUGCCCCAGAGGAAGCACUGGCUAACUACGUGCCAGCAGCCGCGGUAAUACGUAGAGUGCAAACGUUGUUCGGAAUUACUGGGCAUAAAGAGCUCGUAGGCGGCGCAAAAAGUCGGCUGUGAAAGCCCCUGGCUCAACCAGGGAAUUGCGGCCGAAACUGCUGUGCUCGAGUGUGAGAGGGGAGAGUGGAACUUCCAGUGGAGCGGUGAAAUGCGUAGAUAUUGGAAGGAACGCCGGUGGCGAAAGCGACUCUCUGGCUCAUAACUGACGCUGAGGAGCGAAAGCUAGGGUAGCGAACGGGAUUAGAUACCCCGGUAGUCCUAGCCGUAAACGAU
rnacentral:rRNA from 1 species